rnacentral:lncRNA from 1 species
AUUCAAAAAAAAAUCUUAUGGAAAAAGGAAGAAAAGCUUGGUUUAAAAUUAAAAAAACAGUCUCUUUAGAUAAUUCCUGCAGUAUGCUUGAAAAAUUAUUUGAUACUUUAGUUGUUCCAAUAACUCUUUAUGGAAGUGAAGUUUGGGGUGUAAGCCAAGUGUUCAAAGAUUCAGAUCCAUUUGAACAUUUACAUAUUAAAUUUAUUAAAGAAAUUUUAGGAGUACAGUGCAAAAACAACAAAUGUAGCCUGUUUAACUGAGACAAACAGAAUCCCUUUGUACUUUAAAAUUCACCUUUCAGCUAUAAAAUUUCUAAACCACAUUGUAAACUCUCCUAACACUUUAGUCCAUAAAAUAUAUAAUAAUGUAGAGAAAACAAGUAAAUGGGUUAACAUUGUAAAAGACUGGUUAAAUAAAUUAGGUUUUGGUCAUCUCACUUUUAAUACUUUUAAUUUAAAAUAUCACAUAAAUAGUAUCCAACAAAGAAUCUAUGACCAGGCUUAUCAAAUUAUGAAUUGUUCUAUCAAUAAAUGUGAAAAAUUAAAUUUCUUUUGUCAUACUAAAAGAAUUAGAAAAAGGCCCCCAUAUAUUGAUAUAUGUAAAUUCAAAACCGACCGAUCAGUUUUCAGUAAAUUUAAACUAAGUGCGCAUUCCCUAGCAAUUGAAAGAGGGCGUUAUACCAACAUUGAAAGAAAUAAACGCAUUUGCUUAUCCUGUAACAGACAAGAAAUUGAGGAUGAAUACCAUUUCUUCUCAAUCUGUCCAUGCUAUAAAUCAUUAAGGGAUACCUAUAUACAAAAUAUUAAUAAAAAUCUUAAUUUCAAUUUUAUUAAAUUGCAGUCCACUAUAACAGUAAAUCAUUUGACUGUACUUUUAAAUAGCAGUCUACCAGUCAUUAUAAAAAUCACCAUAAAGUAUAUUAAUGAUUGUCUUUUAUUAAGAACAUCUGUGUAACUUUGUUUAAUAUGCAACCUAUUUUUGUUUGUGUUCUUUUUUAUAAUUGUUCAUGAACAUUAACAAUGUGUAAACUGUUGAUAUUUAUAGCCUUUUUCUUCUUCGCUGUGAAUACCACUGUCACUCUAAUAUAGUUAUAAUCAAUUUAACUAUUGUCAGUUUAUUGUUUUAAUUUUGUAUGCCAUAACCAUUUAAUGUAAAUGUGUUUGUGCGAAUAAAAUAUUGUCUAUAUUGUCUAUUGUCUAUAAUUUCUUUUUCACCAUAUUUCUAAUGUUUAUUUUAGAUGAGAGCACCUGAUACUCUUUUAAAUCAAGUAAUUUUAAGAUAGCAUCAAUACUACUAGCCC